UGGGGAAUAUUGCACAAUGGGCGCAAGCCUGAUGCAGCCAUGCCGCGUGUGUGAAGAAGGCCUUCGGGUUGUAAAGCACUUUCAGCGGGGAGGAAGGCGGUGAGGUUAAUAACCUUGUCGAUUGACGUUACCCGCAGAAGAAGCACCGGCUAACUCCGUGCCAGCAGCCGCGGUAAUACGGAGGGUGCAAGCGUUAAUCGGAAUUACUGGGCGUAAAGCGCACGCAGGCGGUUUGUUAAGUCAGAUGUGAAAUCCCCGGGCUCAACCUGGGAACUGCAUCUGAUACUGGCAAGCUUGAGUCUCGUAGAGGGGGGUAGAAUUCCAGGUGUAGCGGUGAAAUGCGUAGAGAUCUGGAGGAAUACCGGUGGCGAAGGCGGCCCCCUGGACGAAGACUGACGCUCAGGUGCGAAAGCGUGGGGAGCAAACA
rnacentral:rRNA from 1 species